rnacentral:rRNA from 1 species
CUUGCUCCCGGAUGUUAGCGGCGGACGGGUGAGUAACACGUGGGUAACCUGCCUGUAAGACUGGGAUAACUCCGGGAAACCGGAGCUAAUACCGGAUAGUUCCUUGAACCGCAUGGUUCAAGGAUGAAAGACGGUUUCGGCUGUCACUUACAGAUGGACCCGCGGCGCAUUAGCUAGUUGGUGGGGUAAUGGCUCACCAAGGCGACGAUGCGUAGCCGACCUGAGAGGGUGAUCGGCCACACUGGGACUGAGACACGGCCCAGACUCCUACGGGAGGCAGCAGUAGGGAAUCUUCCGCAAUGGACGAAAGUCUGACGGAGCAACGCCGCGUGAGUGAUGAAGGUUUUCGGAUCGUAAAGCUCUGUUGUUAGGGAAGAACAAGUGCGAGAGUAACUGCUCGCACCUUGACGGUACCUAACCAGAAAGCCACGGCUAACUACGUGCCAGCAGCCGCGGUAAUACGUAGGUGGCAAGCGUUGUCCGGAAUUAUUGGGCGUAAAGGGCUCGCAGGCGGUUUCUUAAGUCUGAUGUGAAAGCCCCCGGCUCAACCGGGGAGGGUCAUUGGAAACUGGGAAACUUG